rnacentral:rRNA from 1 species
AGUGAACGCCGGCGGUAGGCCUAACACAUGCAAGUCGAACGGCAGCACAGUAAGAGUUUGCUCUUACGGGUGGCGAGUGGCGGACGGGUGAGGAAUACAUCGGAAUCUACUUUUUCGUGGGGGAUAACGUAGGGAAACUUACGCUAAUACCGCAUACGACCUACGGGUGAAAGCAGGGGAUCUUCGGACCUUGCGCGUUUGAAUGAGCCGAUGUCGGAUUAGCUAGUUGGCGGGGUAAAGGCCCACCAAGGCGACGAUCCGUAGCUGGUCUGAGAGGAUGAUCAGCCACACUGGAACUGAGACACGGUCCAGACUCCUACGGGAGGCAGCAGUGGGGAAUAUUGGACAAUGGGCGCAAGCCUGAUCCAGCCAUACCGCGUGGGUGAAGAAGGCCUUCGGGUUGUAAAGCCCUUUUGUUGGGAAAGAAAAGCAGCAGGUUAAUACCCCGCUGUUCUGACGGUACCCAAAGAAUAAGCACCGGCUAACUUCGUG